rnacentral:rRNA from 1 species
UGGACGUUGCGGGGAGUCUAUACUGCAAGUGGAACGCACAAGGUGCACCGUAGUUUACUACACCGUACUUUGUGAGUCGCGAACGGGUGAGUAACGCGUAGGUAACCUACCUUUUAGCGGGGGAUAACUAUUGGAAACGAUAGCUAAUACCGCAUAAGAUAUCUUACUGCAUAGUAAGAUAUUAAAAGAUGCAAUUGCAUCACUAAGAGAUGGACCUGCGUUGUAUUAGCUAGUAGGUGAGGUAACGGCUCACCUAGGCAACGAUACAUAGCCGACCUGAGAGGGUGAUCGGCCACACUGGGACUGAGACACGGCCCAGACUCCUACGGGAGGCAGCAGUAGGGAAUCUUCGGCAAUGGGGGGAACCCUGACCGAGCAACGCCGCGUGAGUGAAGAAGGUUUUCGGAUCGUAAAGCUCUGUUGUAAGAGAAGAACGAGUGUGAGAGUGGAAAGUUCACACUGUGACGGUAACUUACCAGAAAGGGACGGCUAACUACGUGCCAGCAGCCGCGGUAAUACGUAGGUCCCGAGCGUUGUCCGGAUUUAUUGGGCGUAAAGCGAGCGCAGGCGGUUAGAUAAGUCUGAAGUUAAAGGCUGUGGCUUAACCAUAGUACGCUUUGGAAACUGUUUAACUUGAGUGCAGAAGGGGAGAGUGGAAUUCCAUGUGUAGCGGUGAAAUGCGUAGAUAUAUGGAGGAACACCGGUGGCGAAAGCGGCUCUCUGGUCUGUAACUGACGCUGAGGCUCGAAAGCGUGGGGAGCAAACAGGAUUAGAUACCCUGGUAGUCCACGCCGUAAACGAUGAGUGCUAGGUGUUGGGUCCUUUCCGGGACUCAGUGCCGCAGCUAACGCAUUAAGCACUCCGCCUGGGGAGUACGACCGCAAGGUUGAAACUC